CGCGUAAUGGCGGCGCUCGGCCAAAUGGU
rnacentral:sRNA from 1 species